rnacentral:rRNA from 1 species
CCUACGGGAGGCAGCAGUGGGGAAUAUUGCGCAAUGGGGGCAACCCUGACGCAGCAACGCCGCGUGAUUGAAGAAGGCCUUCGGGUUGUAAAGAUCUUUAAUCGGGGACGAAUUUUGACGGUACCCGAAGAAUAAGCUCCGGCUAACUACGUGCCAGCAGCCGCGGUAAUACGUAGGGAGCAAGCGUUAUCCGGAUUUACUGGGUGUAAAGGGCGUGUAGGCGGGCAUGCAAGCCAGAAGUGAAAUCUGGGGGCUUAACCCCCAAACUGCUUUUGGAACUGCGUGUCUUGAGUGAUGGAGAGGCAGGCGGAAUUCCCAGUGUAGCGGUGAAAUGCGUAGAUAUCUGGAGGAACAUCAGUGGCGAAGGCGACUAUCUGGCACAUAACUGACGCUGAGGAGCGAAAGCGUGGGUAGCAAACAGGAUUAGAUACCCUAGUAGUC